rnacentral:lncRNA from 1 species
AUGAUAGAAACUCUUAGUUCUUCUUUAGUUGUAUAGUUCCUUAAGUGAGUUCUACCUAGCUCCUUGAAUUUACUGAUGAAAAUAUCUAAUCAGUUUCUGGGUAGGGAAUUUGCUGUACCAUUGGUUCUCUUAAUCAGUCUUUUAUUUUGGCUGUAAUUUUAAUUUUCUUGAUUUAAUUAUACGUGGACUGGCAUUCCAAGGUAAAGAGUUGUUUGGUUUUAGAGUUUCAUCACAUGUAUUAUAUAUAUACUGCAAACAAUCAGUCCCUUGAUUGUUUAAUCAUGAAGAAUGUAUGCUACUGGUCUUGUGACUCCAAUGAAUAUUUAUAGGAUUUCAGGUUAACUUCCUUGUUCUCUUUUAGCAAGCAAAUAGCAUUUAGAGUUUAGCAACUACCUCAUACAGAUGAUUCUUUAGUGAUGAUCUAUAUUUUCUUUUCUCUGAUAUUUACAGUGUCUAGGUUUACU